rnacentral:rRNA from 1 species
GACGAACGCUGGCGGCGUGCUUAACACAUGCAAGUCGAACGGAAAGGCCCUGCUCUUGUGGGGUGCUCGAGAGGCGAACGGGUGAGUAAAACGUGAGUAACCUGCCCUUGACUUUGGGAUAAAUUCAGGAAACUGGGGCUAAUACCGGAUAGGAGCUACUGCUGCAUGGGGGGGGAUGGAAAGUGUCGGCGGUUGGGGAUGGACUCGAGGCUUAUCAGCUUGUUGGUGGGGUAGUGGCUUACCAAGGCUUUGACGGGUAGCCGGCCUGAGAGGGUGACCGGCCACAUUGGGACUGAGAGACGGACCAGACGCCUACGGGAGGCAGCAGUGGGGAAUAUUGCACAAUGGGGGGAAGCCUGAUGCAGCAACGCCGCGUGCGGGAUGACGGCCUUCGGGUUGUAAACCGAUUUCGCCGGUGACGAAGCGUGAGUGACGGUAAUUGGUAAAGAAGCACCGGCUAACUACGUG